rnacentral:lncRNA from 1 species
UUUCUUUGUUUUUGUUGAGGAUUUUAAUUACCUCUCUUGAUUGAUUUUUUUAUCCCUAAUUUUUACCGAGACCGCUUAUUUGAAGCUUUCGAUCCAUCGGGAUGCUCUAAUUUUUUCCUAAGUUUCCCUUUCUGGUAUUCGACUUAGCGGGCUUGGUGUUUUUUUACUCUUUUUUUAAUAAUUUUGUUAAAUAUUGUGAUUGCCUUAUUAAUGGUUGGUGAGGAACAAUCAUUAUAAA